rnacentral:rRNA from 1 species
UACGUAGGGGGCAAGCGUUGUCCGGAAUGAUUGGGCGUAAAGGGCGCGUAGGCGGCCUUCUAAGUCCGGUGUGAAAGUCCUGCUUUUAAGGUGGGAAUUGCAUUGGAAACUGGAAGGCUUGAGUGCAGGAGAGGUAAGUGGAAUUCCCGGUGUAGCGGUGAAAUGCGUAGAGAUCGGGAGGAACACCAGUGGCGAAGGCGACUUACUGGACUGUAACUGACGCUGAGGCGCGAAAGUGUGGGGAGCAAACAGGAUUAGAUACCCUGGUAGUCCACACUGUAAACGAUGAGUGCUAGGUGUAGGAGGUAUCGACCCCUUCUGUGCCGGAGUUAACACAUUAAGCAUUCCGCCUGGGGAGUACGACCGCAAGGUUGAA